GCUGAAGUAACUCAAAGGUAGAGUGGCGCACUCGUAAAGCGCAGGUUCCCAGUUCAAGUCUGGGCUUCAGCUCCA
rnacentral:tRNA from 1 species